rnacentral:rRNA from 1 species
UACGGAGGGUGCAAGCGUUAUCCGGAUUCACUGGGUUUAAAGGGUGCGUAGGUGGGUCUGUAAGUCCGUGGUGAAAUCUCCGAGCUUAACUUGGAAACUGCCAUGGAUACUAUAGGUCUUGAAUACUGUGGAGGUCAGCGGAAUAUGUCAUGUAGCGGUGAAAUGCUUAGAUAUGACAUAGAACACCAAUUGCGAAGGCAGCUGGCUACACAAAUAUUGACUCUGAGGCACGAAAGCGUGGGGAUCAAACAGG